rnacentral:rRNA from 1 species
UACGGAGGGUGCGAGCGUUGUCCGGAUUUAUUGGGUUUAAAGGGUGCGUAGGUGGCUUUUUAAGUCAGUGGUGAAAUACAGCCGCUCAACGGUUGAGGUGCCAUUGAUACUGAAGAGCUUGAAACAAGUGGAGGCUGCCGGAAUGGAUGGUGUAGCGGUGAAAUGCAUAGAUAUCAUCCAGAACACCGAUUGCGAAGGCAGGUGGCUACGUUUGAUUUGACACUGAGGCACGAAAGCAUGGGGAGCAAAGCAGG